rnacentral:tRNA from 1 species
GGUGAUGUAGGUCAGUGGUAGAUCGUUCGCUUUGCAUGUGAAAGGCCCCGGGUUCGAACCCCGGCAUCUCCA